rnacentral:lncRNA from 1 species
UCUUUAAGGCAGGCAGUUCAGAAGUCACGAGUUCGAUUCAUGGGGCUUUUGGAAGGCAAAUCUUUCUCCUGGAAGGCAGGAUAUUUCCUGGAAGGCAGGAGUUCCUUGGAAGGCAAGGCGUAUACAUGAGUUUGACUCGCUUGACACUUCGGCAGUUCAAUUGGGGGGCUCUUGGACCCUGGCCAGUUUGGGACACAACCCGGGGUUUACCUGGUCUGCGUGAAGAGGGGUUGGAUCGUAGACCCCAGGAUUAGUCACUGUAAGGUGGAAACCUGGGUAAAAAAAAAAAAAAAAAAAAAAAA